rnacentral:piRNA from 1 species
GUGGAUAAGCUGUAGCGAUCCUUAGGUCG